UCGCCGCGGCAACGGGACGCGGAGUGUGGAGGAAGCGGCGGUGGGUCCGGCCCGGCCAUGUCGCGAAUCCUCUGCGAAUGGCUGAACGAGGAGGUGAAGCUCUCCCAGCGCGUCGUUCCAGGAUCAUUUCCAGAAGAAUUUUCUAACGGAUACCUCCUAGGAGAACUUUUACACAAAUAUGGUCUUCAGGAUGACUUUAAACAAUUUUCACAGAGCAGGGUUGCAGAUGCAAAAGUUAACAAUUUUUCUCGCCUGGAACCUACACUUCACCUCCUUGGUGUGCCGUUUAAUGAGAAUGUGGCCCAAGACAUCAUGACAGGACAGCAUGGGGCUGCAACAAAGCUUUUAUAUGAAUUGUAUAUUGCUUUAGAAAAAAAGAGAAAAGCAAAGCACCCUGGAGUAGUCAUGGAAGCAAUAAGACCCGCCGCAACUACAAAUCUUAAGUCUAUUGAGAGUGUUUUGUAUCCAGAGCGUUUGAAAACUUUAGUGCCACAUCAGGCUGAUUUGCAGCUACAGCAGAUUUCGGAGCGUUUUGAAACAAAAUCCAAGGCAGUAGCAGAUAAAAUAGCUCGUACACAUUUUGCAGAGCAGCAGAGAGCUCAGAAGCUCCAAGAAGAGCAAAGAGCUCAAGACAUUGAAAAGGAUCAGAUUGGAAGAAGGAGAAAAAGUGAAGUAGCACACAGGAUUCAAACAGCUGGUUUAAAGGUUCCAAAGCCUCCACCAAGACCCAUCAUAAAAGCUAUUGAAACUAAAAAAUUGUUAAAGAAAAGAGAAGCAGAGAACGUAUACAAGGAAAUAGACAAGUUUGAGAAGUCUAUGACAGGAAAUACCUUUGAAUUACCCAGCCAGGUGACCAACAGUGAUAUGCAAGAAUCAUUGCAAACACAGAAAUUGCAAGAAACAACUCAAGAAACUACAGCACAGACAAAAACUGAGCUGUUAAAUGUUUAUUCAGAUGGUGAAUAUGUAAGGAAAAUUCAAAAACGUUUAGAGGAAGAUACAUUUGCUAGAGAACAACGAGCAAAGAGACGACGAAAAAUGCUAAUGGACCAGUUACUAGCACAUGAAUCUGAAGAGAAGGCUUACCGGGAGGAGCAGCUUGUUUACAGACUAAUGAAACAAUCUCAGCACGAGCGGAGGAUUGCUGCUCAACUCAUGCAUGUUCGACAUGAAAAAGAGGUGUUAAGGCAAAACAGAAUUUUUAGGGAAAAACAAUAUGAAGAAAGACGGCAAAAAGAGUUCCAGGAAGCUCUUGACAGAGAAGCGGCUCUUGCAAAACAAGAAAACAUUGAUAAUGAAGAACAAAUUACGAAAGAGAGAGAACAACAUGAGAAAAUUGCUGCUGAAAGAGCUCAGGCCCGCUAUAAAAAACAUUAUUCUAUGUGUUGGGAAGUGAUGGGCCAAAUCGUUGAUAUGUCGACAAAAGUAGGAGAAUAUCGCCACAUGACAAAGAACCGAGUUCCAUUAAAAAUGAUGCUGGAUUGGAAGGAAUUUUUUUUAAAUGGAAAACCAAUAUAUGAACAAGCCUCAAUUCAACCUUUGCCAAAUGAACCUGGCCCAGAACAACUUGUAGAGAUGAAUAAAAUGAGUCUGUUAGAUGAAAAAGAUUAUGGUGAAUACAAGAAUAUGACAGGGGAAUGGAGUCCAGCUGAAGAGAACAGUGAAAACAAACCUCCUCUUAAUAAUAACAUAUUGGGUCAUGUGCUUCGUAGACUGAUGGAAUUGUUCUAUCCUCCACAACCCAAACCUUCGCCACGUGUACUUACUUCAUUUCCUGUCAAGGGAUGUAUUUUGGGAAAAAUUUUUAGUGGAAAAACUACCUGUGCAAAGUUUAUUGAAAAAGUUUGCAAUAUUCAGGUACUAUCUGUCGAUACUCUGGUUUGGGAGGCCAUCGAGUCUUUUCUUAAAAAUGAAAUGAAAAGUGAACAUGAUAUGAUUCCACAUGAAAAGAGUUCUGGGGAACAAAAUAAGAACAGUCAAGAGGGCCUAUUCAAGCUGUCUGUACGUGCCCAGCUUGGCGCCGCAUCACAGAAAUGGUUGAAGAAAGGAAAAAGUAUUCCCGAUGAACUACUAAUUGACCUCUUGUUGGAAGCCAUUAACCAAAUACCACCAGAGAAGGGGUGGAUUGUGGAAGGGUUUCCAAUGACGAUUAAUCAGGCAAAGCUAUUUGACAAAGCCUAUACAGGGAAUGAUCCAGAGGAAAAAGAUGCAAUUCCUGGAAGGCUCUCACUUGCUAUUGAUCCCAGAGCCCCUAACGAGCCUCCUGUUACCUCACCUGCAUUUGAUGUUUCUGUAUUAUUGGAUAUUUCAGACACUGUGGUACUGAAACGUGCAGCUAACAUGAAGUUAGAUAAAUCAAAGUCAUCUCAAACUGAACAGGAGAGCAGUGAUCAAAAUUCAGAUCCAGAAAUCCUAGAAGAGAGGAUUGACUUGGACAAGGACCAGGUCCUGCAUAGAAUUUCAGGCUUUCUAGACACAUGGCCAAAAUUGGAGAAAUGGUUUUCAGUCCAUCAAAAUAUUCUAGUGAGUGUAAAUGCAGAGACAGAAGAAAGUCAUGUCUGUGAAACAGUGAAGGAAAUUAUAAUACAAGAAAUUGUGAAAAACCAGAAUAGAAGGUCUACUCAAGAAAUAGCACCAGCAGAAGAAAAACCUUUACCAGAUACAGAAGAAAAACCUUUACCAGAUACAGAAGAAAAACCUUUACCAGAUACAGAAGAAAAGCCUUUACCAGAUACAGAUGUAAAGCCUUUACCAGAUACAGAAGAAAAGCCUUUACCAGAUACAGAAGAAAAGCCUUUACCAGUUACAGAAGAAAAGCCUUUACCAGUUACAGAAGAAAAGCCUUUGCCAGUUACAGAUGAUCUGCUUCCUCCCUCUCCUGAGACACCACCACCACCACCAGAACCAGGAUCAGAUGAAUGGAUUUAUGUAGAUGAACCACUUCCCCAGGAGAUAAUUGAUUUUUUAGUACCUUACUGGGAAAUGAUAGAAAAUGUGUAUAUAAAUACCAUCAAAACUGUACUUAGAUGCCUAAGGGAUGAACAGUACGCGAUGAUUCAUUACAUAGCAGAUAUUAGAGAAAAUUUCCAAGAAUAUUUGAAACGUCCAGAUCUUAAGCAGGAGUUUGUAUCUCAGUGGCAAGCAGAUUUUAAUUCAAUUUCUGAUGACUUGCGAGAUGAUGAGGAAACAAAAGCUGAACUACACCAAAGAGUUACUGACCUAAGAGAUCUUCUCUGGGAUAUCUGUGACAGCAGAAGGGAAGAAGCAGAGCAGGAACGUGUUGAUAUCAUGAAUAAAGGCUGGCUGCCAGAUCACAGGGGAAUUGCAAUGAACCAUUUCUUUUCGCUUAUGCAGGUUGAAAUGGAUCGUUUCCAAGAUACAAAGAGAAUUCUUCAUGACUACUAUAGGUCAAUGGAAGGAAAAAUCCCAACAGAAGACAGUAAAGAUUUUACUAGAAUCCCACUGUUAGAUAUUUUUGAUGUAAAGCAGAAGGAAGAUGUAGAUAAGGAAGAUGCAGAGCAGAAGGAAGCUGUAGAGCAGAAGGAAGAUGAAGACAAAUCAAAAAGGAUUCCUCUGGUUUCUUGGAAACUGUUUUCACCAGAAAUUAAUGCUGGGACAGAAAACAAGGGAACUCUGCAGGCAAGUCCUAACGUUGAGAAUUCUGAAAAUGGACUGGCUACUUGCAGGAAUGAUGAAAGGCUUAUUAUUUAUACAUGGCAAAAAGCAGUAACAGCAGUAUCAAAUAUGGUAACAGCUGAAAUAGAGUUUAGAGAAAUGGAGGAAGAAGAACAUCAGCAGCAAAAACUGAAAGAAGAUCCGAAACGCUCAGGCAAAGCUGCUGGGAAAGAUGUCAGAAAGCCUUCUACCAAAUCACUUACUAAGAAGAAAGGAUCACGGAAGAAAGUCAGUAUAAUUCCUUUAGACCCAGAAGAAUUGAAGAAACAAGAACUGGCACUUAAAAUAAAACAAGAACAUCUGAGUGCCUUGAAACAUGAGGAGGCAGCCACAAAAUCUCGACUAGAACUUAUAAAAGAAAAAGCUUUAGCAUUUCUUGAAGACCUAAAAAUGAAAGCAGAAGAGGCUUACAGAGAUAUGGAAAAGUGGCUUGGAUCCACCUUCCUGGCAGAAAUGGCCAGUGUUGAAAAGCUGGUUGAGACUGCACGAUAUCAUGUUGAGAGUUCUAGCAAAAUCCAAUAUGAAAUGACUUUAGAAGAAACAGAUUUCUUCAUCAAUGGCGAUGUAAAAAUGUUUCCUGACCCUGUUCCUGACCCUGUUCCUGCACCACAAGUUCCACGCAUAAAAACCUCUAGAAGUACUCUAACUAUUUCACAACUCACUAAUCUUCAUAAGCAGUUUCUACAGGUGGCACCUAAAGGAAUUUAAAGUUUUAAAGAACUGCCGGUUCACCACAGACAACUUUGUACUGUCCUGCACACUUGGUUCUCCAUGGAAGCACAUUACUCUCCAUUAUAAGCAGCGAUGGACAAAAAAAACCCAGCUUAUGCUGGACCUUCCUACCUACUGACAGUCUUUCAUUUGAUAAGGAAAUACUUAUUUUUUUUUUUACUAUUCCACAUGCCAUUACCCAAACUCAACAUGGCUCUCCAAUAAUUGAUGAUUUCACUAACUCUUUUGAUCAAGUUGUUGACAGUGCUCUAAUAUGUUAUCUCAGAAAUGCUUUUUUAUAGGAAAAGCUGUGGCAUGUCAAGCUACUAACUCUUACUUUUUUUAUUUUCUCUUCUAUGGUCUGUUUGGAUGUGUGCUCUUCUUAUCAACAAAAUUAAACUAACAUAUCUAUAAAAUCUCAUCCCCUUUGCUUCCCUUCAGCACUGUGUUCUUUGUAUGACCACAUCUCUUGUCAUUACAUUUAGCAUACAUAUGGAAUGUCUUAGUUCUCUUCUAAAGAUUCUUCAGAAAAUGCAAUUUGGGUAUGGCUUUUCAUUACUAAGCAGAUCAAAUUGGAUUCUAUCCCAGACUAUGUUCUCCCUCUUAUGACUGAAUCACACAAGGGAAUUUUAAAUUUUAUUUUUUUUUUAAUAGUCAUGAUCUUUAUGAACCAUUCCAAUUUAAUUAUAGAAGCCAUUAUUCAUCAGAAAUAAACUUCAGUCAGGUUUAAAAAAUUUUUAUAUCAAAUAACAAAAAAAAGUCUAAAAUAUUUAUGAAAUUAUUAAGUAGUCUGCUAAGAUGUGAACAUAAAGGACAGCCUAUAACCAAAUUGUAUUGCUAUUUCUUUUCAAGUUGUAGGCUUGUCAAUUGAAUUUUACUGUGUUGCUAGAUUUGGAACAAAUAGAUAUAUUAAAGUGUUCAUGUAGUUCAACUGAAUUGUUUGCCUUUUUAAUAGAAUAUUUUUUUGAAUCAGAAUUUUAUUCUGACCCUGGAUAAUGUCUAUAGAUUAUGCUUUCUCUUCCCAAGCACUCUAGAAGCAAUUCAGGAUCUUACAUUAGUAAUCAUCAUGACCUGACUGAUGUAAUCAUCAUGACCUGACUGAUGUGUGUAGGGAUUGAAGUUCAUACAUGAGCAUUGAAAUAGGCUCAUCAUCUCUAACUUACAUUUUUUCGAGAUUAUUUAUUUUCAAUGUGCUUUUUAAAACUUGAAAAUAAGAAAGGUUAAGUUUGUAGACAGAGGACAUAUCUUUUACUAGAUGAAAACUUGGUAAUUCUACUGAAAGUUCCAUUUAAACCUGCUGUUAUAUCUCUUACUAAAUCAUGUAUGUUACUUAAUUUCAGAAAUUUGCGACUAUUUGCCUAUGGUGUUUAUAAAUCUCUGUAUCUAAUUACUUGUAUGGAACAUAUUUAACAUGGUUGUAAAUGUUUCUGUGCCUUUGAAUAUAUAUAUAUAUAUAUCCAAUUUUAAGAUUUCAGUCAGCACAACAGAGGACCUCACCCCUCAUUGCAUCUGUGCAGCACCAGAAAUACCUUACUCUUUGUGAUUCUAAAUUUAAAAUCCCAAUUCUUGCUAUUUAGGAUUGGACAUAUAGCAGAAUCAGUAAUAAUUAGUAAAUAGAUGAUGUAAAUAUUUACAGUGAAAUUUGCCUGGAGGGAGUGAUGAGUCUCUCAAUAACUUGGAUGGAAAGAAUCAUAUAUUUGAAAUACCUGUCUUUUUCAUCUAAGUAUGGAAAUAUCCCAUAUUAUUGCCUUUUAGACUACUAAAGUUAGAUGAAUAUAAUUCAUCCUCAAGGUUUAUUUCACUCAUGCUACAGAGUCUGGUACAUAAUUUGCAUGGAUCAUCAUCCAAACCUCUUGAUAUUACUAUGGAAAUAUUUUUCUCAGUGAAAAUCUGUUCAAAUGUUCUGGUAAAAUUUUAUGAAAAGGGAAUAAUGUUAACAUAAUUCUCAUCUUUAGUAUAGGUUUGUUGCCUGUGUAAAUUUAUAAUCUGAAUCUUUAAUAGAGAUAUACUACUUUCUCAGUUUAGAGAAAUAUUUUAAUGCCUGUAUGAAAAUAUUCUGUUGAUUGGUGUGUUAUUGAAAAAAAUCUCUUUUUUAUAUCUGUGCAGGGUGAUUGCUCUUUGGUUAAAUGUCCCAGUCCUGGUUCACACGGUACAAAUCCAGUGUAUACUUGCACUACUAUCAUUCUUAAUGCUCCUUUUUGGAUGUUUAAUUUUUCUGUUUUCAAUUUCAUUUGCGGUCAUAAUCUUAAUUUCUUCACUAAUUACUUUUUGCAUUUGUUUAUGAUGUUUCUGCACUGCUUUUUGAAACAUAUAAAGGCUUUCUAAUGUCACCUUGUGUAUCAGGGAAUGAUACUACCUUUUAACAAGGUUUUAAUGAAAAACAACUUCACCUUGUGUAGCUUUUCCUACUUUUUGAUUUCAUUGAUGACAAACUUUAUGUGAAAAAGAGGCUGCUUCAUAAGUAGUACAGGCUGGCUUCCUUUUGUAUCCUGUGUUCUUUCCAAAGUACUACUGCAACAGAUCCCACCUUUUCCUAUGUUCCCAGUUUCUACAUGGAAACUGAAAAAUGUUGGUAACAUUUAAGGUCCGUCUUACAGAGAAUAUUUUCCCUGGCAGUGGAUCACAGGUCUAUUCUGACCCUUAUUUUCUAAGCACCAGGAAAUUUCUACAGGUGCCCACACCCCUCAAGAAGCAGUAGGCACUAUAAAUAUGUUACAGUGAUUUUGUCCCUUCCACCCUUUGACUUCUGAAGUUGCAGAUCCAUUAAUCCAUCUCUCCAACUCUUUUUCACCUAGUCUUGUGAGUUUGUGGCUUCCUAAUGUUAGGAAAGAUUUUAAAUCUUUACUGUAUGUUAAGAAUACUUCUGCCCAUCUUUUGGGUCCUGGGUAUGGUUCCUGUGCACGUCAGAAAAACCUUCUGUGGUCUAGUUGGUUUUGCUGUCCAUGUGGAGCACAGCUGCUACCUCAGUUUUAAAGUUCUCUGAAAGGAUCACUCAAAUGUACUUAAACUGCAUGUUCCUAACUUUUUUUAAUAUUAUGGCCUUUCAGGAUGCUUAGAAUAGAAUGGAACAAUCAAACUGCCAUUUUUUACGACAAUGGGAACAGAGAGUUCUCACAAAUUGUAUAAUAUAUAUUAAAAUUUGCUCCUUCCUGUAAAAUAGAAAAGAGUGGCAUACAAAAACUUGUUUUCUUCAGACCUGUUAAGGCACCAGGAACAGCAUUUCCUUCUAUGAUUAGCUUAAUGUAAUCAUAAAUUUUGCCUCUUGACGUACACAUCACAAUAAGGAGGGCGGGGAGUCAGACUGGGUUUAGGUCAUUUGCUCAGGACUUUACUUUUGCUAUUUUGCAGUGAAUAAAUAGAUUUCUAGUUGUCUUGCCUCCAUUCUGCGUGUAAUUUCUCAUCUUUAUCUGGUUGCUUUCUUUUAAAGUCCUAAUUUUCUGGCAGCAAUGUACUAAAAGAAUCAUUAAAUUACUGGCUAAAAGUAGGAGAUUCAUAUGCUCUAGAGAUAAAAUUUUCAAAAAUUUCAGCUUAUGAUGUUUUCUCCUACAAAAUACAGGAAAGACCAUCUUCAGAACAAUUUGGGAAAUGUUAAAAACAAUCUCAAUGUUUUAAGACUGUUUUAAUUUGGAGAACAAAAUGAGAAGCUUAUACAGUUCCUUGUUCUGAAAGCAGUAAUAAAAUCAUUCUGUGUAUAAAUACAUCUUAAGAAAAUCAUGUCAGCUACAUGUGCCUUAGAGCAUCUUAAGCUUUUCUGUCAGGUUUUUGAUUAUGUAUUUACAGACUUGCUCCAACUUAACUUUUCUGCUAAUGUCAGGUUAUGAUAGGCAUUGUAAUAAGUUUGUGACUUCAGUAGUAUCUUCUGGAGACAUUUUUCCUUGAAGACCCUUCUUAAUUCCUCUUCCUAACUGUGCUUUUCUUUGUUUCCAAAACAGUAUUGAUGCUGCUGCCCUUCACUGAUUGCAUGUUCUGACAAACCCCUGAUAGUCAAAAGGAAAUGGAAGUCAAAACUGACCGUUUCUUACAGCAAUCCUGGGUAGUCUCCAAAUGAUUUAAGAGUAGAUCUCUGUUUUCCUUGUUCUCCUUCAUGGCUGUUUAUUUCAAGUCACAGUCUAGUCCCAAAUUAACAAGAUUAAUAUGGACAAAAAAAAGAAAAUAUGCAAUUGACAUUUUAUGGAAUAAUAACUUUAUAUAUUUAGUUGUUUCUUUUUAAAUUAUAGCCAUAAGAGCACUGAAGCAAUUUAAAAGCAAGAGUAAUUCUUCUAGCAAGAGAGAAGUUGGUGACGAAGGGAAAGAGAAGAAAGAUUUGGAACAUCGGAAAAGAAAGACGAAUCGUCAAUUUCCAAAAAUAUGGCUAACAAAAUAUUCCUGGUUAAAAUAUGAUGAUGAAAGGGGAAUAAUGUUUUGUGUACCUUGUCGUAAACAUGACGUGGAUUUGGGGGAAAACAUUCAUAAUUUUUGUUCUGGCACUGAUGAUUUCAAGCUUGAAUUUAUAAACACACACCAGAGUAGUGAAGCUCAUGCCUGGGCUACCUGCAUGGAAGCUGCCAGUACUGCUUCACCAGACACAGCUUCUACUGAGCAGAUGUUGAAGAGCAUGAACUCCUUAACAUUAGGGAGAGUAGAAAAUAUUUUUAGAACGUACCAUGCUAUGGCUAAAUCUGGUUCUCCCCUUGUAGAUCUUGAUUAAAUUUACAAACCAGAUAAGCUUUAACAUGACCCUUCACAGUUUUUCUCAGACUUAUCCUUCUGAAGACUUCUCUACAGAGGCAGAACAGAUCCAUUGCUUAUUAUUAAUUGCACAAAUCAGUCUUCUCAUAACGAGUACUCUUACACCCAGGAUAUGACCAAUAUACUUCACAGUUUGAACCACUUUUCUUUUCCCCCUGUGAAAAUAUUUUUGAAAGUUGUAAUAAGUAUGCUAUAUCUUGUUUUUUUUUCUAGGAACUGAGAAUAAGUAUAGUUCAGAGAAGUAUCUGAUUUCAUAUUUUCAUAAUUCUACAUAUUCUAAAUGCAACUUUCUAUUUGAUAAUUUCCAAUCAAGGUAAAACAUACCAGCAGAAUAUAUUUUUACCAUCAAAGAAAAAGCAAUGAUUCAUAUCAAAAGAUAGCUAAAAUUAAAUCAUUAAGGACCCCUCUUACUUCUUCCAACAGUAAUGAAGAUGUACUAGAGAUAAUUUGGGAGAAAUGAAUGUGAGAUCAUUCACCUUUAAAUCAACCCAUUUUCUGAAUCAAGAUCAACUCUUUACUUUUGCUGUAAAAUGUGUGUAAUAAUAGCAGAAACUGCACACUACCAUUCCAUACCAUACUAUAUCAUGUAACUCUACCCUAUAUACACACACAUACACCCACACAUAUAUAUAUAUUUUUAGAGUUUUGCAUAUAUCUAGGUAUAAAUAGUAUGUCAGAAAUGGAGUAAGUUUUGAAUGAGUGCCUCCUGAAGUAAUUUUAGUCCAUUCAAGAAGAGUUAAUCUGUAGGGAUCAGAAAAAGGAUCAGUACUGUGAACUAUACAGGGGAUUAAAGAAGUUCCAUCAUUGAAAUAUGUUAAUCUGUGAUUUCUCAGACCAAAAAAAAAAAAAAGAAGUUUAGAUAUAUUUUACCUAAGAAGCAACAGGAUAUAUAUUGUACAAGGUACCUUACUAGAUAUGUGGCAUUGCUGAUGUUAAGGGUUUUCUCUUAAAUCAGAUAAUGCCAAGAGGAUUUUUUCCCCUCUUAAGUUUUCAAAUGGGAAAUUUUUAACUAUGUUGAGGUUAGAAAAAUGUGUUGAAAAUGCGUUCCCAGAAUGUCCAACAGCUGAAGACAAAAAAAGGAAAUAAAAUCUGAAAGUAUAUUUAGAAUCUAUAACACUGAAGUCACUUCCAUGGUGCAGGGGGGCAUGUUUUCUCAUAAUCUUCCUUUCAUCAAUGAAACUAGGAGAAUUCCUUCAACCUUGCCUCUUGGGACAUAUUUUCUAAGCCUGUGAUGAUUCUUGCUACUUUCUUCUGGGCAGUCUUUAGUUUAUGUACAUCCUUGUAGAUCUGCAAAUUCCAAAAUUGUAUGCUAGCAGAAGCUUUAACAUCUGGGAGAAAAAAAAAAAAAAGGAUUAUUUCCAAUGUCUUUAUGUGUACUUUCUGGUAAUAUUGUGAUCUGCUGUAGUCCCUAGAUACUUUUGUAUACAAAUUUUACUUUAUCAGUAAGAUUCCCAUUGUGCCGUUUAUGCAGUUCAUUGUUUCAGCCCAGUGGGACACUUGACAUUAAUCCUUAUUGGAUAGUGUCCUUUUAUUCUAGACUGUAUCUCCAACAUGUAAAGCUCACUUUGAAUUCUAGUCCUAUUAUUCUCCAGUAUGCUUAAACUUCCUUCCUGAAUUGUUUUAUCUGUAGUGUAAUAAAUGCAUCAGUUUGUCAGUCUGUUUCCUCAAACUACUUUGAUCUGUUUCUGGUGAAAUUUACUUACUGAUCUUCAUCAUCUCUUGAGUUUUUCAAAAUCUUCAUGAAUACUGAUUCUUUUUCCACAGUGCUUGCUACCUCUUCUAAUUAAAAAUGUUUCUGGACAUUUAAUGAUUUCAUUUUCUAUUCAUUCUCCUACAUUAUUCAACUAAAACUUACUGGGUUUGGUUUCUUUUAUUUUGGGCUUAGAAAAAAAAUUUUAUAAAGAGCAUACCUGUUUUGAAACGAGUCCUGUUACGUGGACAAAGGCAAUUCUGGGAAUUGUUUUCCUUGUUCUUUCCUAGAAGACAUUAUUUACUUUUACCACUUGCGGAGUGCCAUUUGCAGACACCGGUAUUCUUUUCUCGGUACCAUCUGUGUAGCUGCCCACUCUCAGGCAUCUCUCCGUGAUUAUAAAGCAUUAGCAGCUCUUGAACUAAAAUGGUGAAUCACCUUUCAUCUCAGAUUAUAAUCAGAUAUUCAAAAAUGAUUCCGUGCUCUGUAAUAUAUACCCAAAUACAUUAAAUCGAGACAAAAUACCUGAAAACGCAGUGAGGAAAGUAUUUCUUAUCUUUUUUUACAUGUUUAUGAGGGAUUUCCUCUGAGACUUCCUCAUCAUUCCUCCUACAUAUGUCAGUAGGAGGAAUUAAAUCACAGUCCAUUUGAAAUUUUUGAACUGUUAUAACUUUGGAAUUAUUCCACAUCAGAUGUUUCAGGAAGAGGUAAUAAAGUAAAAGAAAUUGCCCUACAGCACAUCAGCAAUUCUAUAAUUAAUAGGUAGAAAAUAGUCUAGCUCUGAUUGAAAGAGGAUGUGUUUCUUCACGUUUACCACACAGGAAGAAAAGUGGGUAGAUACUGCAGAUCACUUGGCAGAGCUUAAAUAUCUCACAGUAAUUCGUGUUUGCCAUAAUAUUUACCUGAAAACUGCAUUCUAGCAUUUUUUAUAAUCCAGUCUAAGUUCUAUGAUUGUGAGUAACAUUUUAGAUUGCAAUCCUAUUUCGGACAUUAGUUUUGAUGCAAGUUCUUAAAAUUCCUUGUCUCUCAAAUACUUUUUAUGUAUGUUUCUAAAGUCAUGUAGCCUCAUAAAAAAAUUAGAUGAGGAUCUUAGUAUCCUUUUAGAAUUUUAUGCAGAAAAACAAAAUUAAAUUUCAUUUCAGGAAGCCAUAGGCUCAUAGGAAAUACAGGAGCUACAUUCUUUAUUGGCGUAGAGGGAAAUCAUAUUAGGAGUUGAACUGUUGUAAGAAAAGUUAGAUUGCCAGUAAUCAGAUGUGGAAAGGCAAAUUUCAGCAAAAAAUGCAAUAAAAAUUACCAUAGCUGCUCUCUUCAUGGUAAAGCACUAGGAAGAAAUGAGAUUGAAAGAAGAUGUAAAACUUUUUCCUGUUGUUUUUUAUAUGAAGUGUACACUGGCUCCUUCAUGGACCAUAGACUAUUCUCUCCAUGAACCACUAAAAUGUUAUGUGCUUUAUUGAAUUAUUUAUGAAGUCACCCAGUAAUGAUGCUUUUGUUAUGCAGGCUUUAUUGUGCCAUAUGGAAAUUAUCGGAUUCUUGUAGCAUGAAGUUUUCAUCAGAAAACAGAUUUCUGGUUACCUUAAAUUAUUACAUCAUCAAUCCAGAGUGCUUCAGUAAACAGCAAAGGGUUUAUCACAUGGUUUUUUAGAAGAUAUUCUUUGUCAAUGUCGAUAACUCAAAAACUUUCACAAGGUGACAUCAGAGCACUGUUACCAGUCUGUCACUAUUUUUUCUGCAGCCUUUGCUUUCAUGCUGACAUUGUGGUAGGAUAUAUGGCUUCAAGUCCUUCAUUCUUCCUCUCCCAACAGAAUUUAAGCUUCCCAAAUCUGGUUUUUACCUCUUCUCCCCAAGCUUAUAUAUGUGUAGGAUUCCUCUGCUGUACUAAGAUGUGCUGAAGGCAUUAAUCCUGUGUUUUCUGAUUGGACAUAAACAGAGACUGUAGACUAUCAAUUCAAAUUGGCUACUGGAUUUUGAAUACUGACAUUAUGAAAUCAAUAUUCAAACAUUCUUAAUUUUUCUACCACUUACAUCUUUUUUCAUAAAGUUACAUUUCACUCCACUGUUUUGCUUCCAACAAAAAUGUCUCUUAGCCAAAAAAUGUGCACAGCUGUGCUUUUUCAAAAGGACAAGACUUUCGACUGGAAAAAAGAAAAAAAAUAAGUUUUAUACGAACGAAAGUAUUUAUUGACAUUUUUAGUCGCUUGGUUAA